CCUACGGGUGGCAGCAGUGAGGAAUAUUGGUCAAUGGACGAGAGUCUGAACCAGCCAAGUAGCGUGAAGGAUGACUGCCCUAUGGGUUGUAAACCUCUUUUAUAUGGGAAUAAAAUGUUCCACGUGUGGGAUUUUGUAUGUACCAUAUGAAUAAGGAUCGGCUAACUCCGUGCCAGCAGCCGCGGUAAUACGGAGGAUCCGAGCGUUAUCCGGAUUUAUUGGGUUUAAAGGGAGCGUAGGUGGAUUGUUAAGUCAGUUGUGAAAGUUUGCGGCUCAACCGUAAAAUUGCAGUUGAAACUGGCAGUCUUGAGUACAGUAGAGGUGGGCGGAAUUCGUGGUGUAGCGGUGAAAUGCUUAGAUAUCACGAAGAACUCCGAUUGCGAAGGCAGUUCACUGGACUGCAACUGACACUGAGGCGCGAAAGUGUGGGUAUCAAACAGGAUUAGAUACCCCUGUAGUC
rnacentral:rRNA from 1 species